GGACAGGUGCUGCAUGGCUGUCGUCAGCUCGUGUCGUGAGAUGUUGGGUUAAGUCCCGCAACGAGCGCAACCCUUAUCUUUAAUUGCCAGCAUUCAGUUGGGCACUUUAAAGAGACUGCCGGUGUUAAACCGGAGGAAGGUGGGGAUGACGUCAAGUCCUCAUGGCCUUUAUGCUUAGGGCUACACACGUGCUACAAUGGGUGGUACAAAGAGAAGCCAACUCGCGAGAGCGCGCCAAUCUCAAAAAGCCAUCCUCAGUUCGGAUUGGAGUCUGCAACUCGACUCCAUGAAGUUGGAAUCGCUAGUAAUCGCGGAUCAGCAUGCCGCGGUGAAUACGUUCUCGGGGUUU
rnacentral:rRNA from 1 species